AUGCUCAAUUUGACAGCACAUAUAAUAAAACUGAAAUGAUACCAAGAUUAGCAUGGCCCCUAUGCAAAGGUAACAUGCAAAUUCGUGAAGCGUUCCAUAUUUUU
ensembl:snRNA U6 U6 spliceosomal RNA